rfam:Crassostrea gigas strain 05x7-T-G4-1.051#20 contig3601, whole genome shotgun sequence.
CCAACGGCCCUUUUCAGGGCCACCCAUAUUUUACGAAAAGAUGCU